UAGUCCACGCCGUAAACGAUGAGCACUAGAUUUUGGGGGUAUUGACCCCUUCAGAAUCGCAGCUAACGCAUUAAGUGCUCCGCCUGGGGAGUACGGUCGCAAGACUAAAACUCAAAGGAAUUGACGGGGGCCCGCACAAGCGGUGGAUUAUGUGGUUUAAUUCGAAGCAACGCGCAAAACCUUACCUGGGCUUGAACUCCUGAGAACGGAAAGUAAUUUUUCCGGUGCCCUUCGGGGAAUUCAGUGAGAGGUGCUGUAUGGCUGUCGUCAGCUCGUGUUGUGAAAUGUUGGGUUAAGUCUCGCAACGAGCGCAACCCCUAUCUUUAGUUGCCAGCAUUAAGUUGGGCACUCUAGAGAGACUGCCUGGGUUAACCAGGAGGAAGGUGGGGAUGACGUCAAGUCCUCAUGGCCCUUAUGUCCAGGGCUACACACGUAAUACAAUGGUGCAUACAGAGGGACGCGAACCUGCGAGGGGGAGCAAAUCUCAAAAAAUGCAUCUCAGUCCGGA
rnacentral:rRNA from 1 species